rnacentral:misc_RNA from 1 species
GUAGGUGAACCUGCGGAAGGAUCAUUGUCGAAACCUGCUCUGCAGAACGACCCGCGAACACGUUCACAAUACAUGCGGCGGAGCGGGGGGGCUUAUGCUCCCCGGAUCCACCGAUGCUGACGGGACGGAUGGCGGGMUUCGCCCAAAACCAUCCGCUCGGAGGCGCAAUAACCAACCCCGGCGCAGGUAGCGCCAAGGAAUACGAACCGAAAAGAGCACGCUGCCACAGUCCCCGGAAACGGCGGCCCUGGGGCACGCGUCGCACUCUUUCAAAAAUCAUAACGACUCUCGGCAACGGAUAUCUCGGCUCUCGCAUCGAUGAAGAACGCAGCAAAAUGCGAUACUUGGUGUGAAUUGCAGAAUCCCGUGAAUCAUCGAGUUUUUGAACGCAAGUUGCGCCCGAAGCCUUCCGGCCAAGGGCACGUCUGCCUGGGUGUCACGCAACCGUUGCUCCCAACCCUUUAGGGGCGCUGGGGGCGGAUGCUGGCCUCCCGCGCGCUGCGAGGCGCGCGGCUGGCCCAAAAGCCGAGUUCCGGGCGAGGGUUGCCACGACAAUCGGUGGUUGUAAGACCCUCUGAAACAGUCGUGCGGACAAUCCUACGCCGCGAGGGACCCCCGAGACCCCGAUGCAGCCUGGACGGCAUGCUCCGAUCGCGACCCCAGGUCAGGCGGGACUA